GUCAAGAUUGCCACAAGGCAUAUGUAGGUACAUGUGUUUGUAGUAUCAGUUAGUAAGUUACACGUAGCUAAGAUACUGUCAUCAAUGUACUGAGCAUGUGCAGGAAUGCAGGAACUGGAAUUACGUCUCCCUCUCCUUUGUUUCAGAUGAGCCACGUGGUUAGACUGGAUGGAUGAGUUUAGACUCUGUUCAUUGAUUAGGUUAAGGGUAUGUGUGGGAGUAGCUAAUUAUGGGAGGAGCUACAGUGCUAUAUAAGGAAUGUACUCCAUGUAUUCAGUGCUCAGAAUUUUG